GGGAAGGUAGCUCAGUGGUAGAGUGUUUGCCUUGCAUGCAUGAGGCCCUGGGCUCAAUUCCUCAUUACCA
rnacentral:tRNA from 1 species